UGGAUCAAUGAUGAAAGUAAAGCAAGAACUGUAAAUUAUGAUUAAUCCGAUUCUAUAUGUCUGAGGUCCAA